AGCAAGCGUGCGUUCGUGAACGCGCGUCGAGAGUACCGGGAGAAAAAGCAUCGGCUAACUCCGUGCCAGCAGCCGCGGUAAUACGGAGGAUGCGAGCGUUAUCCGGAUUUAUUGGGUUUAAAGGGUGCGUAGGCGGGAUGCCAAGUCAGCGGUAAAAAUGCGGUGCUCAACGCCGUCGAGCCGUUGAAACUGGCGUUCUUGAGUGGGCGAGAAGUAUGCGGAAUGCGUGGUGUAGCGGUGAAAUGCAUAGAUAUCACGCAGAACUCCGAUUGCGAAGGCAGCAUACCGGCGCCCUACUGACGCUGAGGCACGAAAGCGUGGGUAUCGAACAGGAUUAGAUACCCUGGUAGUCCACGCAGUAAACGAUGAAUGCUAACUGUCCGGCUCGAAUGAGCGCUGG
rnacentral:rRNA from 1 species